rnacentral:rRNA from 1 species
UAGGGGAUCUUCGGCAAUGGACGAAAGUCUGACCGAGCAACGCCGCGUGAGUGAAGAAGGUUUUCGGAUCGUAAAACUCUGUUGGUAGAGAAGAACGUUGGUGAGAGUGGAAAGCUCAUCAAGUGACGGUAACUACCCAGAAAGGGACGGCUAACUACGUGCCAC